rnacentral:misc_RNA from 1 species
AGAAGAUAAAAAAAAAAAUAGAAAGCAUGAAAUUUUCUGAAAAGAAAAAUCAAAAUGGACGCAUGAUACCUCCCAAAGAGAACGAAUGGCCGCAUAGGAGAAUGAAGAACCUCGAUCUCAUAAUCCAAUCAAAGGAUUGCGGCCUUGAGGAGUUCGAGGAUGCACCAGUGGAGGGUUUCGGCGCGGCGUUGCUUGCAGGAUAUGGAUGGUAUAAAGGC